rnacentral:lncRNA from 1 species
UUCUAUUAGCUAGACAUCUUAACUUAUGUAUUACAAUAACAUAUAUUCCAAUUUGGUUAUGGCUUAUUUAUAAGUUCAUAACAACAAUUUCUUAAUUUAUGAUUUUCAUUUCCUUAUGACUUAUUCGGCUUAGGUCCAUUGCUUAUCAACUUCUCCUAUGUUCUUAGCAUCUAAGUUCAUUAGAUUACACUUCUCUUAUCAACCUACCAUGAUAGAGAUGAAGAAGAUAAGAUCAUUUACCUUUGAUGAUUACUUCACUUCACUUUGCAAAAUCUAACAAAAGUUGAAAUGGCUUAUAAGUGCUUAUGGGUUCUAACAAAUAAGUUGCUUUGAGAGAGAGUUGUUGGAUGAAACAAAUCAACCAAAUAAUGAAAUGAGAGCUUUCUAUUUAUAGGCAACCCAAAGUUUGGGUAGAAUGGUCUUUAUGGCAUCCCACCUCCUUACUAUUCAUAACCUAGCAACCAAGUAAACUUGCUAGCCACUUCUACUUCUUGACCAUCACAACACUUGGUCACCACACAAUGUUCUUGCUCUCAAAGUUCACCCACGGGUUGCCCCAUGGAUCAUUGCUUUACCCAUUGGAUCAUCCUUUGGGCUUGGGUUUAGUUAAUUAUUCUAAUUAUUGUGGGCUUGCAUGCAUUUGGUUUGGGCUUCCCAUUAAUCCACCCUUGGCUAAUCAUUGCUACAACUUGGGCUUGUCCCUUAAUGCUUAGUG